rnacentral:rRNA from 2 species
AAACGCCCGGACCCAUCCCGAACCCGGAAGCUAAGCCUGCCAGCGCCGAUGAUACUACCCAACCCGGGUGGAAAAGUAGGACACCGCCGAAC